CUGAUGUUUACUCAGCCGAAACACUGUAUCAGAAGGAAACCAGGAGAGAAAACCCACCCCGAAGCCUAAAACCCUGAAAUUUUCGGUUCAAAGGAAUCCAAAAGCAAGAAGAGCAAUGAACAUGGGAAAAGGAGACAGCCAAAGAGAGAGAUUUUUUUUUUUUAACAAAUUAAAUGUUUUCUGCGGGGAACGUUCACAGACAUUUCUUGAAGACACUGCCUUCUUUCAUCUUAUCCAAUCCCUACAGGUAGUGAAAAAAGGGAUUCAAAAAUAGCAAAACAAACAGAGGCUUAAUGGGUUUUUCUUUUAUUCAUUAAAUUAUUUAUUUUGUUGGUUUUCUCAGCAACAUUCUUCAUUGGAUUGUUGGGAUUGGAUUGGAAGCUGAUUACAUGAUAGUAUUUGAUUGAAUUUGGUUCCUUCAUCUGCAGAAAUGCCAUGUCAAUAAAGGAUGUAGUUCCAAAGAUCACUUGUAUAAAUUUGAUGCAAUUAAAUAAAUAGUACUUGUGAUGAUGGGUUUCCCUCAUUUUCCCCAUUGAAUCAUCCCAUCAAUAUUGAAUGGUGCCGCUGGAUGUCUACUUCGAAAGGGAGGAGCAUGAGAGGCAGGGUGGAGACGCGGAUGCAAAAAGAGUCUGGCAAACCGUUAGAGAGAUUGGGAGAGCAAAAAAAUUCAAGAAGAAAUUGAUGACCGAUGAGGAGAGGCUCAUUUAUAAUCUCAAGAGACUAUACUUCUUUGCUUUACUUGUAGUUAUAUAUGUUAGUAGAAUUGUUUCUUGAUCAACAAUUGUUUUCUUAAUCCUGUUACUGGACUUAGACUAGUGAUUGUUUCACUGUCUUAAUGUAGAACAUUAAAAGGAAGGUGUGUUGGCAUGUUCGAUUUAAGAGAUUCAAUGCUUGGGGCAUCUAUGGUGAGCUUGAGAAAUGUGGUUGUAUUGGAUUUUUCAUUGUAAGGAAGCGAUUUGUGCAUCUUUUAGUGCAUUUACAACUCUAUGUAUGAAGGUACACAUCUGUCCUUUCACAGGGAAGUAGUAGAAUUUUAGACUACAAUUCCUCUAGAAUUAUAAAAUGAUCUUUGAAUAGCAUGCCUGUUCUUAUAUGUCUAACUUACAACCUCAAAUUAGUCAAGCAGAACUAUGCCUCAAUCUCAAAUCCAAGUAUAAUUAUGUUUAAGCACGCAACAUAGUCUAGAUUAUGACACUAAAUAAAAUAUUGGUAGCUGCACAAAUAUGGUUCAGGCUUUUCUAGCAUCAUUUAAAAGAUGCUAUAUGCUUUGAGAGUUUGUAGUGAGGCAAUCAGAAAUGAGUUUAAAUAAAAUUUUUCAAUUUCUGCAAACAUAAUGCUGAUACCCUCUUUAUCUGCAGGUCAGUUCCUGUAUGUUGUACUCCUCAUGGGAAUGUAAGCCACAAUUUGUUUAGUUUGUAUCUCUCUAAAUUGAAAUGUUUUUCUUAUACUAUAGAUAUCAUCUAAAGAUUCAUAACUCUUUCUAGGUAUUUAGUUUUAGGUUAUGUUGACAAAGUUAGGCGGCCAAGAAAUCCCAAGACCACAAAUGCUUUUCUUUUGGAAUCUAGGUUAUGUUGUGAACAUAGCAAAAAUUAUACUUGGAUGAUGGCACAAUAUACAUGGACAUAGAGAAUUUUUUAAGAUCCUUGAGAACUCCUAAAUAAGGUAGGAUUAAAUUGCUUUUGAAUUGCAUUUCUAUCAGCAAGAGUUUUAAGCUGGGCGCCCUUUCUCUUCAGUCUUUUCUUCCUGAACCUCAUCUGUUGUCCAUGAUUUUCAUUUGUCAUGAUAUCGAUCAUUCUGACAAUUUUUGUAAUGGUUAUGAUCUGCAAUGGUAAAACUCAGCAAAAAUAAAAUGUCAAAUAUUUCUAUGCUUGAUCAUGUUUUCACUGUUUGGUAGUGACUCCCAAGUUCCAGUUUGUUGUACUGCUGAGUACUGGUUUUUCUCUUUUUUUUUUAAGCUUAGGAUAUAUUGUUGUCUAUGAUAUUUUGAGAAUUACCGUUUUCAAUUUAAUCAAUGCAGGCUUAGAAGAAAGUUGCACUGCUAGAAAUAUGAGCUACCAAGUUCCCCCAACCACCACGCCCACCCCCCCUCCCUUGUUCAUGACCCUGAGUUGUUGACACCAGAACAACCUUAGGUAUUCAAGAAGAUUGGCUUCAGGAAGAAAAAUUAUGUUCCUGUUGGUGUUCAUGGAGUCUUGGAGGUAUUGUCCAGAAUAUGCAUCUUCAUUGGAAGUUUCAUGAGACUGUACAAGCAUGCUGUGACAACUUCCCCAAAGAAAGAAAAAAGGAAGUGGCCACCAUGCUUGCCAGACUGAGUGGUGGCAUUGUAAUAAACAUUCAUAAAGCGAAGACAGCUGGCAGCAGAGCUUUGUUAAGAUCCCAAUGUUAAACUGUGAUCAUAAUAGAUGGACUGAGGAUGAGAGUCCAUGAAAAAUUGCAACGUAGUUGUGAUAAAAUUUAUGCAAUUAUUUGCUGGAUUUUUUUUGUCCAUAGACACUUAAUUCAGAUGUAAGCUUAAUCCUGAUUCAAAGCUGUUAAAGCUUAUGGAUUAUGAUGUGCUAUAAUUUUUGUAGGGAUUAUUUAAAGCCAGAUUUGAGCAAGCUUUUGAAUCUCAGAGGUUAAACAUCGAGAAAAUAGAGCAGCAGCUCCGGCGAAUGGGUUUACCCUGAGGAUCUAGUUGCCAUGGCUAGCAUCCAAAAAGUGGCUUCCACAUCAGUGGGAUUCUGAUGCUGUUGAUCUUGAGAGUGAUGCUGAUGAUUCCAUCGAAGGUCACAAUUUUCACAAUAGAACUAGAGAUUUUCGCAGGAAGCAGGAUGGGGUUGGUAGAGUAUCAUUUUAAGGGUUCCAGAAGAAAUGCGGGAACUUGAUUUGAAGAGGUGGUUGAAAAAGAUUCUGAAUUAGAGAAUAUAUUAAGCGAUCUUGACAAUGCAUACAUGAAUCAGAUUCUGAGGAAGAACGUGAAUUGAGAGCAUCAAGAGCAGAAGCAAGUCACAGUUUUCAGAGCGAGGGACAUAAAUCAGAAGAUAUGUUGAGUGAUCUUGACAAUGCAAUGUGGGAAUCAAAUUCUGAGCAAGAAGAACAUGACUUGAGAGAGCAUCAAGCACAGAUGCAAUUCAUAACUUCCAGAGCAGCAGUGAUGAAGAAAAGGAUAUUUAUGUUUAUCCCAUGAUCAGAAAUGAGACUGGGGUGGAUGAUCUUGAGAAUGAUACCAAUGAAAAUGGUGAGGUGCUCAAUGAAUUAAAAGCAUCUAAA
rnacentral:misc_RNA from 1 species